rnacentral:lncRNA from 1 species
AUCUACAUCAACUCUGACGAAGAGGAAAAUGCGGUCUACGCUGAUGACGCCACGUCCGUGGCUGCGGUGGCCAACCCCAGCGGCACAUCGGACACCAUCAUUGAAGGCGCCGGCGAGUCUAAUGGAGAUGAUGACGCUGGAGGCUACUCCGACGGCGACGACAACUACACUGAAGACCACAACGACAAUGUCUCUUCGGCCUUCGCAAGUAAGUCGCAGCGAGGCCCUUAUAGCUAUUGGCAUGAAAGAGACAUCUGCAGGCUCGUUAAGACAGAUGGGCUCCUCAGCGGCGGCUUGAACGACAUAAUCAUACCGUCGUCGAUGCUCUAUGUUGAGUUCGUGAAGGAUAACCAGCCGAUCUACCGUGGCAACUUGGACUCAAAAACAAUAUCAGAAAAGAGGUACAAGUUGAAGAAGAAAUUCUUCGACUACUGCAAGUCGGAGGCCGGCCUGAACCCGGGUCAAGAAGGUCCAGUAUACGCCUGCUGCAGAGAGGCAUGGCCACACAUCGUCGAGAAGGCCCGCGCUGAUGUUGCUAAUGAGUAGAUCACGGACAAGUACAAUCCAGCCUUUUUCUUUUAUUUCACCAAUAAACAAAUGUAGUUUUCUUUCCCAUUUCUUCCAUCGUCAAUGAUACUCUGUAUCCGAUCUGUUUUUUCAAUUCCUUUUGUCAGUUUAUUUUCUUUUCCUUGAUUUAUAUGAGAUUGUUCUGAUGUAUAUGCCAUGGAGAGUCUGUAUCAUGCAUACACUAGAACAAGAAUUAUCUGUAGUACUUAUACUUUUGAGAUAUCAUAGCAG